rnacentral:misc_RNA from 1 species
UGAAGAGAGUCUUUCUCUGGCAAAGGAAUGAAGUAGGAAAGCCUUCUGCUUUCAUUAUUGGAAAACCAGUGAACUACUAGCAGAAGUAGCAGUGGAGACACCAUGAGAACCAGCUUCACUUGAUCGAACAUGCUCUCUAGCACUGGUUCGUAGUUCAUGUACCACGAGAAACCUAUCAGCAUGAGCAGUAUCAGAAGGAAGAAGCAAAGGUGCACAGGCAAAGGAGGCUGAGACUGUGGAGAUGAAUAAUUACCAUUUGCCAUUUUCUUGAAUGUCUUGGGACCCAAAAGGAAG